AUACUUACCUGGCAGGGGAGAUACCAUGAUCACUAAGGUGGUUUUCCCAGGGCAAGGCUUAUUCAUUGCACAAUUUACCCUAAAGAAAUAACUGGACAAGAGCUCAGAUAUAUGUUUAUAUGGCAGUGCUUAAUCUC
rnacentral:snRNA from 1 species